UUCUUCUUUAGUCUCCUCAGUGGCUAGUAUGUCAAAUGUAUGCGUCCAUCCACCCUGGGUACAAGAGACUGUGUGUGUAUGAAUGUGAGUCUGUGUGUGUAUGUGUGCUCACACACAGGUACAAAACCACCCACAUGCAUGCCACAGCAUGUUAGUGACAGAGCACUUUAGAAGUAAGUUCUCUUCUUCCACCCUGAGGGGACCCUGUGUUCUGAUUCAGGUCCUCAGGCUUGAUGCCAGGGACUUGUGCCAGCCAAGCCAUUUUACUGGCUUCUUUUCGGUUUCUCUUUCUAUUUUGUUUGAAGCCACAUUUUAUGUAGCUCAGGCUGACCUUGAACUACCGAUCUCUCUGGCUUCCUAAUGUUGGGGAUACAGGCAAGUCCCACCACACCCCUCUCCGCUUGCCACUGCCCUCUGUGGGCCUCACAGAGUAAUGGUGAGACCAGGAGAUGUUAAAAGCCAGGAGAGAAAACAACUGACAGAAGGGAAUGCGGAUGGCCCAGGAGCUGGGGCCAGCAGUAGCACCCACGGAUCCAUGUCGGAGUCAGCUGAGACAUAGUAGACAGAGCCCUAGGGCUUCAGAAUUAAUAGAAAUCGACCUGAUAAACAGUAAAUAUGAAGAAACAAGAAUGGCAUGACCCCUGUGAGUCCUGUGAGCACAACCAGGCUUCAGCAAAAGAAAACAAAUGGAAUAUUCCUGAGAACAUGGUUCAUCACCAUCAAGUCAACAGCGAGACACAAACGUGGCAGACCAGCUCUCCCAGCUCCCUGGCAGCAGGCACACGAGUGGUGAGAACAACCAUACAAGUGAAAUAAGUCACCUAAAGUCCCUGAGUCAGCUGUGCGUGGUGGAACACUGGGGAGGCCGAGGCAGGCAGGCUCACAACCAUAUGUCAUGAGAUCCAAUGCCCGCUUCUGGUGUAUCUGAAGACUGCUACAGUGUACUCUUAAAAAGUGUCAUUUGUGCUGGGUGUGGUGGCACAUGUCUAUCAUCUCAGAUGGGAGGUGGAGGCAGGAGUAAUUCAGGGACAUCAACAGCUACAUAGUGAAGUCAGAGCCAGCCUGGGCUACAUGGGAAAGAAUAAAAACUACAGCCAAGAAGUCAGAAGUUUAAAGAUGCUCUCUCACCCCUAAAAAGCCCUAAAUACCCAAAUUCCAGACCCUGCUCUCGGCCAACGAGUAGGUUAAAGGUCACAUUUCCUGAGCCUGCUCUCCCAGGAACUAGAUAAAAGUGCUUAAGAUAAAAGUGCCUUCCCUUAGGUACGUGAUCCCAACCUGUUAGAGAUAACAGAAAGACUUUCCCAGGAACCAGCUGACCCUGACUGUAAAGUUAGAUUACAAUCUUAAAAGCAAUCUUGAGAGACAGGAAGCUUCUCCUUGUAAUUUUUCACUGGUAUUCUCCACAUUUUCCAAUGACAGCAUCCCUAACCCCUUAGGUUAUGGCUUCUUCCUUUAAAUACUCCUCUCAGCUACUCAGGGUUGAACUCCUCUGCCCCUGCGUGGGAUAUGAGUCUCAACCCCAGUGCACUGGUUCCUAUCGAUAAACCUCAUGUGAUUACAGCAAGGAGAGUCUUACAUGAGUUCUUGGCGGGGGAGGGGUUGCGUCAUCCCAAGACUUGAGUGAGGGCCUCCCUGCUCUGGGGGUCUUUCAUUUGGAGGAUCGUCCGGGAUCGGUGACCACCCUCGUCUCCGAAGACCCACUUGGAGGUGAGAUAGCAUCUGUGUCUUUGUGUAUUCGUGCCGACUCAACUCUGGGUCUGUAGUUACUCGCAAAUACUGGUGUUUGCAGUCGCUCUGUCUCAGGUAGAGGCAGAGGCUCGUCUCUCUGGAGAAGACGAGGGAAUGUGAGUAUUGGUAAAUGUGCCAGGGACUCACUGACUGCGCUGCCCUGGGAAACAUCCCAGGAGGUGAGGAGGGACCCAGGGAUGCCUGGGAGAUUCCCGUCUGGGGGCCGGUGAGGAUUCCGUGAUUCUCCUGGAUUGGAGAAAAGACCAGCCCUCUCAGCCCUCCCAGCCCUCUGUAUUUCCAGAGUGGUCUUUGUGUGUCUUAGGUCUUUGUUUUGUGUUACUUGUCACUUUGACGAUGGGACUCUUCUGAGUUUGACUUUAGACCACUGGACUAAACUUAGGGCUAAAGCAUACAAUUUGUCAGUUAAGAUUAAGAAAGGACCAUGACAGACUUUUUGCUCCUCUGAGUGGCAGGCGUUUGAUGUCGGCUGGCCUCCAGAGGGCACCUUUGACCAUUAUUUUUGAUCUGCUCUCCUUCAUCUGUCUUGUUGGGAAAGAGGAGUGAUGUGAAAUCCGCUCGUUUUCAUCUGUCUUUGGUGAGCUCACAGAAACUCCUGUCUGAAUCAGUUCAGCUUUGUGGUGAUCUCUUGGCGGCCGCUUGUUUUUGUUUUUGUGCGCACUUCUGUUUUUGUCUGUUAAUCUUUUGAUUGUCUUUCUAUGUGACUGAAUGCUAUUUGUCCUCUUCGGCGGACCUCUAUUUUCUGGACUCUCUUCUUGUUUUCUCACCAUCCCACUUGAGAUGCUUGUUAGUAGCUGUUACAGGUCCUCUUUACCACUGAGGAAAUACAGAAUCCUACUAGAGGCCAGAAAGAAUGUUCCAGACACAGAUGGAAGGUCCUCACUCCUGCCUGUUGACUCCAAUACGCCUGAAGGUAGGGAGUGUUACAAGUCUUUUACCAGGCUCUAAUGGUGGGUCUCUGAGGGGCUGAAAAACGCAUCAAUCUGGAUAUAGUAAGAAAAAAAUAUAUAAAAAAAAAGUUACAGAAACUUAAAGGGUUAAGCUAAGUUGCUGAGAGAGUUAGUGUAAGUUAGAGUUAGUGUAAGUUAGAGUUAGUGUAAGUUACAAAGAAAGUUAAAGUACAGUUCAGGUUAAAAAAAAAGAAGGCAAAAAGAGUAGGAAACUAGACAAAAAAAGGGACCAAAAAAAAAAAAAGCUAAAGAAACUUAUACUGGCCACGGUAGUUAGAGAGACUAGGAAGACAGUACCUAGCAACAGAAGAGAAUUCCUGGCUAAAGAUCAGAGUGCCUUUUGUACUGACCAGGAUAGAGAGGAAGCCCACCCAGUGUUUUGUGGAUACAGGGGCCCAACACUCUGUGCUCCUUCACCGAAGUGGGCCAGUGUCCAUCAAAAGACCUUGGGUACAGGGGGCUACCAAUAACAAACAAUACUUAUGGACUACCUGAAGAACAGUGGACCUUGGCGUGGGCUGGGAAAACCACUAGUUCAUGGUCAUCCUUGACUGCCCCUAUCCCUUGUUCAUGAGAAAUUUGCUCUCCAAAAUGGCUUGCAUGGGCUGAAAUGGCUGGGUGAGGCCAUAUCAGCAUAUGUAUACAUAUGUAUACAUAUGGGUGUAUACAUAUCUGCAGACUGUGUAUGUGGACCUUAAGACCUGUCUCAGUGCACCAGUACCUGAUGCUAGGAGAUGUGUGGCUUAGUGCCUUUCUGCCUGGAACACACCACUCCUGCCAGCUGGGCACUAACAAUUAUCACCCAAUCCAGGACUUAAACUGUGAUAGAGUGGCUGAUGUUUUGCCUUUGAAUAGAAUGUCCCAGAGGAUGGGACCACUGGUCAGCUGACAUGGACUAGAUUCUCCACCGGUUGGGGGCAAUCUGGCCACCUUGAGUCUCAAGUACUGGCAGAAGCCCAUGGGUGGAGAGAAGACCUCUGCAACUGACCGAUCAACUCAUACUGAAAGCCGAGGCUACCUUGUCUACAGACCAGAACAGUUCUCUUCAUAAAGGUCAGAGAUGAGUGGGUGCUGCCAUGGUGGACAACACAAACGUCAUCUGGGAUGGACAAACCUCUACCCCCAGCACAUCAGCGCAGAUGCCUUUGCCAUCUCUUGGAUGCCCUGAUGAAGCCAGCAACUAUACCUUUUCAGGAUGAGUGGAAACUUUCCCCACCAAGCAAGAGACAGCCUAGGUAGUCAUCAAGAAGAUACUGGAAGAAAUCUUCCCCCAGUUUGGAGUGCCCAAGACUAAAAGACCUACAGGUGGUACAGAAAAAAGUUUGAUCACAGCUGACAGCAGCCUAUGCCCUGGGGACCCCUGAGACAUCUCACCAGUUCCAGGUCGGAGACUCAGCUACAUACGACGACACCGAGCCCAGACACUCGAGCCUCCCUGGAAAGGACCAUACCUGGUGCUGCUGACCACCCUGACAGCCGUCAAGUCUCAGCCCUCACCAGCCGCAUACUAGCUGUUGGGGCUGAGAGCUGGAACCUAGAGGGACACUUAGAUCUUCGAAAAGCUCCCUAGACUUACACAUCAGAUAAGUGGAUACAUCAGAGACAUGACUGGGAGGUUGCUAUAAUGCUCACUUGAGGAGUAUGCUUUAGAAAAAAAAAAUUUCAUGUUUGCCCUGGGUUCCAUCGAGAUAGGUGUGAGAAUAGGCUUGAUUUCUAUUACAAAUGAUGCACAUUAGUACUCCUAACACUUCUUGGGACUGUGCCUCAGGGAUCACAACCUGUAUAAGUUUAGAGGUUCUAAAAGACAGUCAUGACUUUUGUGUGUAGGUUCAGAUAGUGUCCAGAUUAGAAUCCUGAUGCUAAAGACUUUUUAGCUGACCUCCAAGAAACCCUAGCCUCCCUCUCAGAGGUAGUCCUUCAAAAUAGUAAAAGAUUAGACCUGAUAUUCCUUAAAGAAGGAGGUCUGUGUGCUACACUAGAGAAAAAAAAUGUUGUUUCUACCUAGACCAUUCUGGGGUUGUUUUAUUCUUAAAAGACGGAAGAUUAUGCGCUGCUCUCAGAGAAAAGUGUUGUUUUUAUAGAGACCACUCAGGUGUAUACUAAAAUUUAGUUUUAUGAUUAGAACUAGCCACUAGAAGAAGUGGGGAAUGAAAGAAUAAAAAAUACAGCCAAGAAGUCAGAAGUUUAAAGAUGCUCUCACCCCUAAAAAGCCCUAAAUACCCAAAUUCCAGACCCUGCUCUCGGCCAACGAGUAGGUUAAAGGUCACAUUUCUUGAGCCUGCUCUCCCAGGGACUAGAUAAAAGUGCUUAAGAUAAAGUGCCUUCCCUUAGGUACGUGAUCCCAACCUGUUAGAGAUAACAGAAAGACUUUCCCAGGAACCAGCUGACCCUGACUGUAAAGUUAGAUUACAAUCUUAAAAGCAAUCUUGAGAGACAGGAAGCUUCUCCUUGUGAUUUUUUCACUGGUAUUCUCCACAUUUUCCAAUGACAGCAUCCCUAACCCCUUAGGUUGUGGCUUCUUCCUUUAAAUAUUCCUUCUCUCAGCUACUCAGGGUUGAACUCCUCUGCCCCUGCGUGGGAUAUGAGUCUCAACCCCAGUGCACUGGUUCCUAUCGAUAAACCUCAUAUGAUUACAGCAAGGACGGUCUUUUGUGAGUUCUUGGGGUGGAGGGGGGUUCGAGUCAUCCCAAGACUUGAGUGAGGGCCUCCCUGCUCUGGGAGUCUUUCACAUGUCUGGAAAAGAAAAAGCAAGUUGUCACAGAAGCAUGGGUUGG